AACCUUAUGGACCUGCGGGCGUAUACCUGCGGAAGGAUCAUUACCGAGUUUACAACUCCCAAACCCCUGUGAACAUACCAAUUGUUGCCUCGGCGGAUCAGCCCGCUCCCGGUAAAACGGGACGGCCCGCCAGAGGACCCCUAAACUCUGUUUCUAUAUGUAACUUCUGAGUAAAACCAUAAAUAAAUCAAAACUUUCAACAAUGGAUCU
rnacentral:misc_RNA from 1 species